GACGAACCACACAAACGUUAUUCGGAAUUACUGGGCUUAAAGGGUGCGUAGGCUGUGCGGAAAGUUGGGUGUGAAAUCCCCCGGCUCAACCGGGGAAUUGCGCCCAAAACUACUGUGCUUGAGGAAGACAGAGGUGAGCGGAACUUCGGGUGGAGCGGUGAAAUGCGUUGAUAUCCGAAGGAACACCGGUGGCGAAAGCGGCUCACUGGGUCUUUUCUGACGCUGAUGCACGAAAGCUAGGGGAGCAAACGGG
rnacentral:rRNA from 1 species